UAGAGUUUUGAUCCUGGCUCAGGACGAACGCUGGCGGCAUGCCUAAUACAUGCAAGUCGAGCGGACUUGAAGAGAAGCUUGCUUCUCGAUGUUAGCGGCGGACGGGUGAGUAACACGUAGGCAACCUGCCCUCAAGCUUGGGACAACUACCGGAAACGGUAGCUAAUACCGAAUAGUUGUUUUCUUCCCUGAAGAACUGGAAAGACGGAGCAAUCUGUCACUUGGGGAUGGGCCUGCGGCGCAUUAGCUAGUUGGUGGGGUAACGGCUCACCAAGGCGACGAUGCGUAGCCGACCUGAGAGGGUGAUCGGCCACACUGGGACUGAGACACGGCCCAGACUCCUACGGGAGGCAGCAGUAGGGAAUCUUCCGCAAUGGGCGAAAGCCUGACGGAGCAAUGCCGCGUGAGUGAUGAAGGUUUUCGGAUCGUAAAGCUCUGUUGCCAGGGAAGAACGCUUGGGAGAGUAACUGCUCUCAAGGUGACGGUACCUGAGAAGAAAGCCCCGGCUAACUACGUGCCAGCAGCCGCGGUAAUACGUAGGGGGCAAGCGUUGUCCGGAAUUAUUGGGCGUAAAGCGCGCGCAGGCGGUCAUUUAAGUCUGGUGUUUAAUCCCGGGGCUCAACCCCGGAUCGCAGAAAACUUGAGUGCAGAAGAGGAGAGUGGAAAGGCGUAACGGAUAUGUGGAGGAACACCA
rnacentral:rRNA from 1 species